GCUAAUGUACUUUAGUCAUUUUUUCCUCUAGGGGAAUUUUGAGGGCAAAUGGAGUGGGAGUCACAGGAAAGGUUUAAAAGUACCAUCGAUCAAAGGAACCAAAUGGCUGGAGACUUGUUUGAUGUUGAAGAGGGUCCAGGAGUGCUCUGGAGGGUCUGGCCCGUUGGUGGAGGAGGAUGCUCUUGAGGGAGGCAGUGAGUCAUAGCUGGGCCCCACGUGCUUAUGUACAGAAUUUCAGAUCCAGCAAGGAGAGGCUCUUGCUUGAAAACUGAUGGUGAAUACAGACAAUGCUCCAAUCCCUGUGGAAAAUGACUGCACUCAGCUCCCUAAAUUCUGUGUUUCUCCAUAUUUAUAUGUGCUGUUACCCAGUGAAUACCUGAUUAAGGAAUGCAGCUGCCAAAUGAAUACAUUUGUCGCUCAUCAAAUGGAACCAUAAAGCCAGCGAUGAUGGGGCUUAUUAAAAACCUUCUUUCACUCAGUUGAAAAAUCCUCCACACGUCCCAGCCGGUCUCAAUAUCGCCGCUAAUGAAAUGGAUUCUGGUCCUUCUAUCCCACAUCGACUCUCUGCCUUUAUUCUUCUCUGGAAGCUUUCCAGACCAGAAGGAAGCAGUGACCUACAAGUUGAAAGGCCUUUGCCAGCACCUCAGUUCAGCACCUAACCUCAGGACCCUAGAUCCCUGACCAGGGAUUGAACCUAUGCCCCCUGCAAUGGAAGUUUGAAGUCCUGACUACUGGACCACCGGGAAACUCCCUAAAUUUUAGCUUUACUACACAUACACUGAUUGAAUGAGAAGUCUCAGCUACACUUCAUGUCAACUGAAAUCCACAACAUGAGUUAAAACCUACAUCACUUGCAACAGCCCAUCUCAAAGAGAUAAGGACUGAAAAUGCCUGGGGCUGGUGGGUUUGGAGUUUAGGGUGUGUGUAAUUCAUUUGAGACUUUUCAAGGCUUUGGCCAUAGGAAUGAAGAGUGGGCUCUUGUUCUGCUCAGCAACCUUCAAGUUUAUUUAUUAAACCCUGCUUUGUGUCUAAUCUUUCUUUUUGUGGCCAUGCAGCAACACACCGUAAUUCUCUAAUACUGUACAGUGCCAGCAUCUUGGAGGGUUUCAGGACAGAUCCGAAGAGCCAGCAGUCUCUGCAUUGUAACAGUCAGAUGCAGGAAUCCUUGAGAGACCUGCGACUCUCUAAAGCCGGGAACUGAAGCAGUUUUUCUUUAAACAUUUAUUACAAAUACAAGCAUUAUUUGUAUUCAGCACAGACCGAAGAAAGACUAAGCAGUUGGUCCUUUUUAUUGCAGUUGAAAUCUGGCCCGAUCUGGCAACCCUUUUUAGAAUCAAACACUGAAUAAAGUUCCCAAGACAUGUGGGGAGGUGAGACAGUUUCUGUUUGUAGCACAGGGGUGUUGGGUGUGGGGGUGUCUCCUGCGUGGGCUAGACACAUGGGUCUCCAGGGGAGCUAGCAGGCUACAGGCUUACCUCACUCUUGGUUGAUGAUGGUGAAACUGAGAAUGAGGAAUGCCACAGGACUUCAUUUUUCAUUAAAUUAGGAGCACUCUAAGGUCAAAUACAGCUGUCAGAAACCCAGUUCCAACCGGCUUAAGUAAAAAAGUGAAUCUGUGGGUUCUUGGGGCUAUGAAGUGCCUGAUUCUAGCUUCAGGCAUGGCUUGAUCUAGGGGUCUUAGAUUGGAUACCUUAGAGACAGAGCUUGCAAUGGGGAUUCUUGUGCAAUGAAUUAUUGAGAAAAUGCUCUCAGGAAGAGUUGCAAGGGAAUGAAUCUGUAAGUAGGAUAGAGUGAAAGAAACAGCCAGCGAAGCCUGCUGUUUCAGCUGGAAUCUAGCUUCAGCCUGACCCCACAAGGAGCUCUGGAGUGUAGAUAACAUUACAGAGCUGUCUCACCCCACAAGGAGCUCUGGAGUGGAGAUAACAUUACAGAGCUGUCUCACCCCACAAGGAGCUCUGGAGUGGAGAUAACAUUACAGAGCUGUCUCACCCCACAAGGAGCUCUGGAGUGGAGAUAACAUUACAGAGCCGUCUCAGCCCACAAGGAGCUCUGGAGUGGAGAUAACAUUACAGAGCCGUCUCAGCCCACAAGGAGCUCUGGAGUGGAGAUCACAUUACAGAGCCGUCUCACCCCACAAGGAGCUCUGGAGUGGAGAUCACAUUACAGAGCCGUCUCACCCCACAAGGAGCUCUGGAGUGGAGAUCACAUUACAGAGCCGUCUCAGCCCACAAGGAGCUCUGGAGUGGAGAUCACAUUACAGAGCCGUCUCAGCCCACAAGGAGCUCUGGAGUGGAGAUCACAUUACAGAGCCGUCUCAGCCCACAAGGAGCUCUGGAGUGGAGAUCACAUCACAGAGCUGUCUCACCCCACAAGGAGCUCUGGAGUGGAGAUCACAUUACAGAGCUGUCUCAGCCCACAAGGAGCUCUGGAGUGGAGAUCACAUUACAGAGCCGUCUCAGCCCACAAGGAGCUCUGGAGUGGAGAUCACAUUACAGAGCCGUCUCAGCCCACAAGGAGCUCUGGAGUGGAGAUCACAUUACAGAGCCGUCUCAGCCCACAAGGAGCUCUGGAGUGGAGAUCACAUCACAGAGCUGUCUCACCCCACAAGGAGCUCUGGAGUGGAGAUCACAUCACAGAGCUGUCUCACCCCACAAGGAGCUCUGGAGUGGAGAUCACAUCACAGAGCUGUCUCACCCCACAAGGAGCUCUGGAGUGGAGAUCACAUCACAGAGCUGUCUCACUCUAAGGCAAGAAGCUUGGCCUUUGGUACUUUCGUAUUAGUCUGUCAUUGACUGUGUGCUGUCUCUGAAAUGGAGCACAUAACCUCCUGGGACUUUCUGGACAAAGUGACUUUCUUUGGCUAAAGGUAAUUCUCUGAAAAUUUCAACUGUGAGCUGUUAGCAAUCCUCAGUUACAGUCAGUUCUUACAGAUGGGUGCAGUCUGGUAGCGGGGAUCUGGGCAAGGUAUCAACCUUGUCUACAUCAAGGGGCUCAAGCAAUGACCUAGGGUUUCACCUCUCACCCUACUUCUGAGGUUUACUUCUUGGCUCCAUUCUCAAAUAGCAUGGGGACAAGGUGACCACCAAAGGCCCUGAGCUCUCCUUA
ensembl:lncRNA